UUGUUGCAGAUAUGAUGAGUUUUCAUGUCUCUUCUCUGACCAACUCUGGAGAAAGAUUGAUCAUCUCUGAUCUCACAA
rnacentral:snoRNA from 14 species